CAGUCGAACGGACUCAUAUUGAAACCUAGUGAUUUAUGAGUUAGUGGCGGACGGGUGAGUAACGCGUGGAUAACCUGCCGUAUACCGGGGGAUAACACUUAGAAAUAGGUGCUAAUACCGCAUAAGCGCACGGCUCCGCAUGGGGCAGUGUGAAAAACUCCGGUGGUAUACGAUGGAUCCGCGUCUGAUUAGCUAGUUGGCGGGGUAACGGCCCACCAAGGCAGCGAUCAGUAGCCGGCCUGAGAGGGUGGACGGCCACAUUGGGACUGAGACACGGCCCAAACUCCUACGGGAGGCAGCAGUGGGGAAUAUUGCACAAUGGGGGAAACCCUGAUGCAGCGACGCCGCGUGAGUGAAGAAGUAUCUCGGUACGUAAAGCUCUAUCAGCAGGGAAGAAAAUGACGGUACCUGACCAAGAAGCCCCGGCUAACUACGUGCCAGCAGCCGCGGUAAUACGUAGGGGGCAAGCGUUAUCCGGAUUUACUGGGUGUAAAGGGAGCGUAGACGGCAGCACAAGUCUGGAGUGAAAUCCCGGGGCUUAACCCCGGAACUGCUUUGGAAACUGUGCGGCUGGAGUGCAGGAGGGGUAAGCGGAAUUCCUAGUGUAGCGGUGAAAUGCGUAGAUAUUAGGAGGAACACCGGUGGCGAAGGCGGCUUACUGGACUGUAACUGACGUUGAGGCUCGAAAGCGUGGGGAGCAAACAGGAUUAGAUACCCUGGUAGUCCACGCCGUAAACGAUGAUUACUAGGUGUCGGGGGACCAAGGUCCUCCGGUGCCGGCGCAAACGCAUUAAGU
rnacentral:rRNA from 1 species